CAGUCGCCGCGGGAAUACAGAGGGUGCGAGCGUUAAUCGGAUUUACUGGGCGUAAAGCGUGCGUAGGCGGCUUCUUAAGUCGGAUGUGAAAUCCCCGGGCUCAACCUGGGAACUGCAUCCAAAACUGGCAAGCUAGAGUAUGGUAGAGGGUGGUGGAAUUUCCUGUGUAGCGGUGAAAUGCGUAGAUAUAGGAAGGAACACCAGUGGCGAAGGCGACCACCUGGACUGAUACUGACACUGAGGUGCGAAAGCGUGGGGAGCAAACAGGAUUAGAUACCCGGGUAGUCCCUGUCUCUUAUAC
rnacentral:rRNA from 1 species